rnacentral:misc_RNA from 1 species
UUUCCGUAGGUGAACCUGCGGAAGGAUCAUCAGUGAAAUACCACUUUCUUAUUUACACCCCUUUGUGCAUUUCGGGAGGGGGGGAAAGUCUUGAAAAAGCCUCCCCCCCCCUUUCUUUUUUUUUUAAAAACAAAAACAACCCCCCAAUUCUUUUUUAAAUUAUCCAUACCCCAUAUAAAAACAUUAGACAACUUUUAACAACGGAUCUCUUGGCUCUC